rnacentral:lncRNA from 1 species
CAAAACUGUAGUUCAAUACUACUCACCUUUUUGAGGUGUUCUUUGCUGUCUUGUCAGAUGGUUUUUGAAAAAAUACAGAUGAAAUAUUUUUCGUAGAUACUUUUCUCAGUCGUAGGAAUUAUAAAUGCUGUUGACAGCCUAUUUUGUAGGAAAUUGUACUUCAAUUCGGUUUUUGUUUCGUAAUGCUUCUUUUCACUCAGUUCUUCAAGUCAGAAUGCAGCUUGAAAGGCAGAAGAAGAAAAAAUCUGUAUGCUUGCAUUUUUAAUUCACUGUUAAGAUAUCCUGUUAAAAUAUUCUCCUUUAAAUAUACAUAUUUGUGUGUGCAUUUGAAAUGCAAGCAGCAUCAGUUCCAUCAGCUAGAAAGCCUCUUCAUAGCACUUUUAUAAAACAUUGCUUGAGAAUGUUACGUAUUCCUUUUGCAUGUUUCUGUAGUUUUCCAAGUUAAAAAUGACUCCACUGAGCUCAUCUUCUCUGCGGUUGUAUUUUACGUGUGUGUGUGUGUGUGUGUGUGUGUACGCGCUCUGCGUGGUAGUUCAGUUAUGCUCUGGAGUAUGUGUUGGAAAUGCCAGCCUGACAUAUUGCUAAUGAGUGUGCAUAUUGACAGUGACGGGGGCGUGUGUCUGUCUGUGUGCCAUAUAUUAAAACAAAAAGAGGAGGGAGACGGAGACAGAGAAAGACAGAGACACAGAAGGAAAUAUUGGGAUGGGAAAGAACAGUUUAUUUACAUUACGUGAGCUGUGCUUGCAGACGUUGCAUGACUGUGCCCUGCUGGAGCUGCCCAGUGGCAUCCUUCCUCUGCUCUGCUUGUCGCCGCUGAAGCAGCAGUGCCAUGGGGACGCUGAACCUGGGAGCAGCUGCCUGAGACAAACCCUCAUGCAGGGAUAUCAGCAGAAGCACAUGGAGGCACAUCAGUAA